UACGUAGGGGGCUAGCGUUGUCCGGAUUUAUUGGGCGUAAAGAGCGUGUAGGCGGCCAGGUAGGUCUGCUGUGAAAACUCGAGGCUCAACCUCGAGACGUCGGCGGAAACCAUCUGGCUAGAGUCCGGAAGAGGAGAGUGGAAUUCCUGGUGUAGCGGUGAAAUGCGCAGAUAUCAGGAAGAACACCCGUGGCGAAGGCGGCAUCCUGGACCGGCAUUGACGCUGAUGAGCGAAAGCCAGGGGAGCAAACGGG
rnacentral:rRNA from 1 species